GUUCACUUCGGCAGUACAUAUACUAAAAUUGGAACAAUACAAAGGAGAUUAGCAUGGCCCCUGUGCAAGGAUGACACCCAGAUUCAUGAAGCGUUCCCUAUAUUU
rnacentral:snRNA from 1 species